CCCCAUCGAAUCAUGUGAACCCUGGACAAAUAGAUUACUGCUAUUUAGUAUUUGUCCAUGUGUAAAACUGUGAACGAUAUUUGCAUAAUAAAACACGGACUAAUGAGAUAGAAUUACUAUAAUUUUCUAUCACAUUAUUUUAUGCCCAUGUUGUAUAGUGAAGACAUCAAUCUAUAAAUAAUUUCAAAAUUAGACUUGGGGUAAGCUAAAUGACGAAUGAUGAGCGUGCGUAUGCGGACGAUGCGUGGUGAUGAUUCGUUGGCAGAAAUUAAGUGUCCAGCUAGCGCUAAUAAGAUCUUUCACCAGCAGAAGCGAUAACUAUUGGUAAAAUUAAAAGUUGCUUGGUAAAUAAUGGACAAUUACAACUAAAACGAAAUAAUAAUUAUUAUUAUCAAGUUCAGGGGCAAUUACAUAUCAGUCGGAGAAUGUAUUGCUA